rnacentral:rRNA from 1 species
GUGCCAGCCGCCGCGGUAAUACGUAGGCAGCAAGCGUUGUUCGGAGUUACUGGGCGUAAAGAGUGUGUAGGCGGUUUCGUAAGUUUGGUGUGAAAUCUCCCGGCUUAACUGGGAGGGUGCGCCGAAGACUGCGAGGCUCGAGUGCCGGAGAGGUAAGCGGAAUUCCUGGUGUAGCGGUGAAAUGCGUAGAUAUCAGGAGGAACACCGGUGGUGUAGACGGCUUACUGGACGGCCACUGACGCUGAGACACGAAAGCGUGGGUAGCAAACAGGAUUAGAAACCCGGGUAGUCC